rnacentral:rRNA from 1 species
CCCUUAGAUGUUCUGGGCCGCACGCGCGCUACACUGAUGCAUUCAACGAGUCUAAAACCUGCUCUGAUAGGGGUGGGUAAUCUUUUGAGUGUGCAUCGUGAUUGGGAUAGAUGAUUGCAAUUUUUCAUCUUCAACGAGGAAUGCCUAGUAAACGCAAGUCAUCAGCUUGCAUUGAUUACGUCCCUGCCCUUUGUACACACCGCCCGUCGCUCCUACCGAUUGAAUGAUCCGAUGAAUAUCAUGGAUUGAGGAUGCAAGUAGGUUCGCCUAUCUUCAUCUUCGAGAAGUGAAGUAAAUCUUAUCAUUUAGAGGAAGGAGAAGUCGUAACA